UACGUAGGGUGCAAACGUUGUUCGGAAUUACUGGGCGUAAAGCGCGUGUAGGCGGCUAUGCAAGUCGGAUGUGAAAGCCCUCGGCUCAACCGGGGAAGUGCACCCGAAACUGCAAAGCUAGAGUCUCGGAGAGGAUCGUGGAAUUCUCGGUGUAGAGGUGAAAUUCGUAGAUAUCGAGAGGAACACCGGUGGCGAAGACGGCGAUCUGGACGAUGACUGACGCUGAGACGCGAAAGCGUGGGGAGCAAACAGG
rnacentral:rRNA from 1 species